ACCACCUAAUCCAUGCCCUCUAUUUUUCUGUCACUCGUCUCCUAUAAAGUUUAUCCUCGCCUCGAAUUCUCCUCCGAUCCUUUCACCCUGUCGGACCACUCCCCAAUUCAAACCCUAAUUGAUGGCUGCCUCCCAGCCCUUUGACGGCGGCUAUUGCCACAGAUCCGUCUCGAAUUGCGCUUCCACCGGAUCCUAUUCAAGAACCGCCUCCAUCUAUGCUGUCCUUCACCCUGCCGCUCCAUACGACCCCUUCACGAAUCUUCCCUUUUCUAGAAGGCAACGAGAUCAUACAUUUUCAGACUUCUAUGCCGCUUCAGGUGAUCAGCCCCCGACAAAGAAAAGGAGGAUCAUGCCCGACGGACUCGUGUGGGACGCCGGCGCGGACGGUAAUACGGUGUUCUCUAGUUGCUGGUCCCUCAUACAGUCACCGAGGCGAGAAGAAGAAAACGCGCGACGCCGUGCCCUGAGCUAUGCGCAGCCCCACGAGCGAUGGGAAUCCGUGCGUUCGGAAGCGGAGGACGCACUGCUUGUUACCAGGAGCGAGAUCGAGAUGUGCUCCCCUUCAAGGAAGGACGGCAUCGAUUGCCUGCUUGAAACACAGUUGCGGUACUCCUACUGCUCGUACCUCCAGCAUCUUGGAUUCAGGCUCGACCUGCCACAAACUACAAUUGGUGCAGCGAUGGUCCUUGGCCACCGGUUCUUUUUCCGGAGAUCUUAUGCCUGCAAUGAUAGAUUUUUGAUUGCCACAGCAGCUUUGUUCCUGGCAACUAAGUCUGAGGAUACACCAUGCUUAUUGAAUUCAGUGCUCAGGUCAUCGUGUGAAGUUUCAGAACUUCUCAGAAUUCCUUAUUAUCCAUAUCUACAUCAUAAGGAUUGGUUUGAACAUUAUCGUGAACAAAUUAUUGAGACUGAGCAAAAGAUACUGACUACUCUGGAUUUUGAACUCGAAGUGGAGCAUCCUUAUGCUCCUCUGGCUUCUGUUCUUGGGAAACUUGGACUCUCACAAUCUGUGCUUCAUAAUGUGGCUUGGAGUUUAGUUAGCAAAAGAGUAGGUUGUUUGCAAUGUCUUGACAUCUGAAAAUGUUGCUUCUUCUAGUAAAGUUCAAGGAAAACACGGCCAUCUCCAGGUGUGUUCAGGAUUGAGGUUGAUUGCUAACUAAAGUUUUCUAUAGAUAUCUGGGUUGGCUUUCAACAACUGCAUGGUGAUCUGCAGUUAAUUUUCAAAGUGAUAUCUUGCCUGCAAACAUUAGUCUGGCCCUUCUUACAGAUACAUAAGGACUGUCGGUUAAGUUAAUUUAUGGACUUACUGUUUUAUCUAAAAGAGGUAACCAUUCCUUCAGUGUAUUCAUGUUUCUUGGACAUGUAUUGACUAUCCAAAAGGAGCAUACGCAUCUAUAUAUUUUUGCAUAAUGCAGGAAACCUGAUUAGCUCAUCUUUGAUAUACACUGUAAGCAGAAGCUACAAGCAUCAAGGAGAGAAUUGUUCUCUUCUUUGUUUCCCAAAUUUAUACUAUCCUGAUUGAAUAAUGGAUUAUGGGAGGGAGGGGGAUACUGGAGUAUUCCUGGUUACGGGAAUUGGUGCAUGAUUCAAAAAGACAUGCUAUAGUUUAGCACUAGUACAGAAUUUCAACUGAAGAUUCUCAGACCAUGUAUCAGAUGGACUGCUGCUUUGAUUUUGUUAUCGAAGUUCACUUUGCCUUCAGUUUAAGCCUCGCCAUAUUGCUGCUGGAGCUGCAUUUCUUGCUGCCAGGACCCUAAACUUCGACGUAAUUUUACAACCAAGUAUUCUGUACGAGUUUCAAACUACACCAUUUAUCCUCC